rnacentral:rRNA from 1 species
ACGGGUGAGUAACACGUGGAUAACCUACCCAUAAGACUGGGAUAACUUCGGGAAACCGGAGCUAAUACCGGAUAACAUAUUGAACCGCAUGGUUCAAUAGUGAAAGGCGGCUUUGCUGUCACUUAUAGAUGGAUCCGCGCCGUAUUAGCUAGUUGGUAAGGUAACGGCUUACCAAGGCAACGAUACGUAGCCGACCUGAGAGGGUGAUCGGCCACACUGGAACUGAGACACGGUCCAGACUCCUACGGGAGGCAGCAGUAGGGAAUCUUCCGCAAUGGGCGAAAGCCUGACGGAGCAACGCCGCGUGAGUGAUGAAGGUCUUCGGAUCGUAAAACUCUGUUAUCAGGGAAGAACAAAUGUGUAAGUAACUGUGCACAUCUUGACGGUACCUGAUCAGAAAGCCACGGCUAACUACGUGCCAGCAGCCGCGGUAAUACGUAGGUGGCAAGCGUUAUCCGGAAUUAUUGGGCGUAAAGCGCGCGUAGGCGGUUUUUUAAGUCUGAUGUGAAAGCCCACGGCUCAACCGUGGAGGGUCAUUGGAAACUGGAAAACUUGAGUGCAGAAGAGGAAAGUGGAAU